rnacentral:rRNA from 1 species
UUAGGGGUUUCUGGUUUUUCAAGAAAUGAAUUUAAUUCAUGCGUCUUAUUUAGAGUUUUAUUAUUUGUUUAUUUAUUUUUAUUUGGUGUUAAGAUUGGGAGGGAUUAGCUUCUUAUUUUAUUUUUAUAAUUUUUUUGUUUAUUUAGUCUUGUGGGUUUUAUAUUGAUUUUCAAUUUGAUUAUGUUAAAAUUUUAUUUGUUUUGUUCUUUAUUUUUGUUUAUUUAAUUAUUUAUUGAAAUGUAUUCUUUAUUUUGUUUUGGUUAGUAAUUAUUGUAGAAUUAGUAAAUUUGUUGUUAGGUUGUUUUAUUUGUGUUAAUUUUCUUUGAGGAACUAGGCAAAUUUCAUGCCCGCCUGUUUAACAAAAACAUCUUUUCUUGUCAGUUUUUGAAGUAUGGCCUGCCCGCUGACUUUGGUGUUGAAGGGCCGCGGUAUUUUGACCGUGCAAAGGUAGCAUAGUCAUUAGUUCUUUAAUUGUGAUCUGGUAUGAAUGGCUUGACGAGGCAUGGGCUGUCUUAAUUUUGAAUUGUUUAUUGAAUUUGGUCUUUGAGUUAAAAUUCUUAGAUGUUUUUAUGGGACGAGAAGACCCUAUAGAGUUUGACAUUUGUUAUGGUCCCUUUUUGUUUGUGAGGGUUCACUGGGCCGUUUAAUAUGUUUUGUUGGGGUGAUGGGAGGGAUAUAAAUGAA